rnacentral:rRNA from 1 species
CCUACGGGGGGCAGCAGUGAGGAAUAUUGGUCAAUGGACGAGAGUCUGAACCAGCCAAGUAGCGUGAAGGAUGACUGCCCUAUGGGUUGUAAACUUCUUUUAUAUGGGAAUAAAAUGUUCCACGUGUGGGAUUUUGUAUGUACCAUAUGAAUAAGGUUCGGCUAACUCCGUGCCAGCAGCCGCGGGAAUACGGAGGAUCCGAGCGUUAUCCGGAUUUAUUGGGUUUAAAGGGAGCGUAGGUGGAUUGUUAAGUCAGUUGUGAAAGUUUGCGGCUCAACCGUAAAAUUGCAGUUGAAACUGGCAGUCUUGAGUACAGUAGAGGUAGGCGGAAUUCGUGGUGUAGCGGUGAAAUGCUUAGAUAUCACGAAGAACACCGAUGGCGAAGGCAGUUCACUGGACUGCAACUGACACUGAGGCUCGAAAGUGUGGGUAUCAAACAGGAUUAGAUACCCUGGUAGUC